rnacentral:misc_RNA from 1 species
AACGCACAUUGCAGCCGCCGGCAUUCCGGCGGCUAUGCCUGUCCGAGCGCUACUAACACCCCUCAGGCCCCCGUGCCUGGCGUUGGGGGGCCGCUGAUCUUGGGCGGCCCUCUCAAAGUUAGUGGCGGCAGCGCCCGCGGCGCGACGCGCAAAGUAGCACUACUGGCGCGACGUCCCCGGCGCUGACCAGCCGAGAGAACCUCACUACCACACAAAGUAGUUGGCCUCGGAUCAGGUAGGAUUACCCGCUGAACUUAA